rnacentral:rRNA from 1 species
AGUCGAACGGCAGCGCGGGGCAACCUGGCGGCGAGUGGCGAACGGGUGAGUAAUAUAUCGGAACGUACCCAAGAGUGGGGGAUAACGUAGCGAAAGUUACGCUAAUACCGCAUACGAUCUAAGGAUGAAAGCAGGGGAUCUUCGGACCUUGUGCUCCUGGAGCGGCCGAUAUCUGAUUAGCUAGUUGGUGAGGUAAAGGCUCACCAAGGCCACGAUCAGUAGCUGGUCUGAGAGGACGACCAGCCACACUGGAACUGAGACACGGUCCAGACUCCUACGGGAGGCAGCAGUGGGGAAUUUUGGACAAUGGGCGAAAGCCUGAUCCAGCAAUGCCGCGUGAGUGAAGAAGGCCUUCGGGUUGUAAAGCUCUUUUGUCAGGGAAGAAACGGUGAAGGCUAAUAUCUUUCGCUAAUGACGGUACCUGAAGAAUAAGCACCGGCUAACUACGUGCCAGCAGCCGCGGUAAUACGUAGGGUGCAAGCGUUAAUCGGAAUUACUGGGCGUAAAGCGUGCGCAGGCGGUUUUGUAAGUCUGACGUGAAAUCCCCGGGCUCAACCUGGGAAUUGCGUUGGAGACUGCAAGGCUAGAAUCUGGCAGAGGGGGGUAGAAUUCCACGUGUAGCAGUGAAAUGCGUAGAGAUGUGGAGGAACACCGAUGGCGAAGGCAGCCCCCUGGGUCAAGAUUGACGCUCAUGCACGAAAGCGUGGGGAGCAAACAGGAUUAGAUACCCUGGUAGUCCACGCCCUAAACGAUGUCUACUAGUUGUCGGGUUUUAAUUAACUUGGUAACGCAGCUAACGCGUGAAGUAGACCGCCUGGGGAGUACGGUCGCAAGAUUAAAACUCAAAGGAAUUGAC